CUGGGCUCCCCCUGUGUGCUGUGAGUUAUCUGUGUGCCUUAAUUCCAGUCCCCUGCUCUCCCCAGUGUGAUGUAUGUAUGUCCUGCAUUGGUGGCAAAUCCCAGUUUAUUUCUUAGCCUUUGGCUGAAGAUCAGCAGAUGGUUGAUGGGUUCUGUUGCUAUUUAUAAAAAUGGCAGAUCUAAUCAGGGAGAUGAGUGAACUCUUGCUAAGAGGGGACUGAUUUCAAUGUACAGAUUAGGUGCCAAGAGGUUCCUGACUACGGUCCAUGAUUAUUGGCAGAGUGCAUGCCUGCUGCCUACAGAUGUACCCUUAGAAGGACAUAUAAUUCAGGAACUGGAGCAUGGCACCGAUGGAGACAGUGCUGGAUUCCCAAAGCUAAAAGGAUUGCUGCCAUUAUAUAAAAGCAUUGCAUAGCAACUUUCUUAAAUCAGUUCUUGAACAGAAGGGUGUGACAAUCAUAACAUUAUAUGAAGAUAUAUGAGAACAUCAGUAUUACACUGACCUGAAGAAUGAACGGCUGGAUGCUGUUGGGAUUUGGAGUGGUACAAAACAGGAUGAUCAGAUGCCUCCAAUUUUGUUUAACUCAUCUAUGGAUGCUGUAAGUGUAUAACUUGGAUGAA